GGUAGUGUGGCCGAGUGGUCUAAGGCAUUGGAUUUAGGCUCCAGUCUCUGAGGAGAUGUGGGUUCAAAUCCCACCACUGCCA